ensembl:lincRNA
CAAUUAAAUCUCUUUUAUUAUGAAUUACUCAGUCUCAGGUAUUUCUUUAUAGCAGUGUAAGAACAGACUAAUACAGAGACUGAACCAAAGAUAAGUAUCUUAUGGUGAUCUUUUUGAUUUUUUUUUUUUUUUUUUUUUUUUUUUUUUUUUUUUUUUUUUUUUUUUUUUUUUUUUUUUUUUUUUUUUUUUUUUUUUUUUUUUUUUUGAUUAAAAUUUCUAUCGCCUAUACUUUGCAUAGGUAAAUGGUUUAGUGUGUGUGUUGGUUUGUUAUUAGUGUUGAUUAUGCUUGGGGCUAGUAUUGGCUCAAGGUAAUCAAGUGGUGUUGAGAUUUUCUGGGUGUAAGCCAGGUGCUUUAUAUUAAGCUAUACCUUGAUUUAUCCAAGUGCACCUUCCAGUACACUUACCAUGUUACGACUUAUCUGUCAGUGGUCAGGGACUGGGUUUAACUAUGUGAUAAGCAUGGGUUUGGUGGGUCAUUAAGUGUUGUUGUGUAGGUAGAGGCUAAUUAGGAGUGUGAAGAUGUAGGCUUGAAUUAGGGCUACUGCAAUCUCUAGAAUAGUUAAUAGUGCUAGGAGUAUAGAAGUUAGCAGGGUUAAGGAGAAGUUAGUGGUUGAUAGUGCUAAUACAGCGCCUCCAACUAGGUGUAUUAGUAGGUGACCAGCUGUGAUAUUUGCAGUUAGUCGUACGGCUAGGGCUACCGGUUGGAUAAGUAGGCUGAUAGUUUCGAUUACCACUAAUAUGGGAAUAACACAGACAAUGUCAGAUUAAAAUUGUAUGUUCUUCUCUUC